GUGGGGAAUAUUGGGCAAUGGGCGAAAGCCUGACCCAGCAACGCCGCGUGAAGGAAGAAGGUUUUCGGAUCGUAAACUUCUAUCCUUGGUGAAGAUAAUGACGGUAGCCAAGAAGGAAGCCCCGGCUAACUACGUGCCAGCAGCCGCGGUAAUACGUAGGGGGCAAGCGUUGUCCGGAAUGAUUGGGCGUACAGGGCGCGUAGGCGGCCCGGUAAGUCUGAAGUGAAAGUCUUGAUUUUAAGGUGGGAAUUGCUUUGGAUACUGUCGGGCUUGAGUGCAGGAGAGGUAAGCGGAAUUCCCGGUGUAGCGGUGAAAUGCGUAGAGAUCGGGAGGAACACCAGUGGCGAAGGCGGCUUACUGGACUGUAACUGACGCUGAGGCGCGAAAGUGUGGGGAGCAAACAGGAUUAGAUACCCCGGUAGUCC
rnacentral:rRNA from 1 species